GUUUGUUUUUUAAAUAAGCCCUUGUGAAUGAAUUGUAUUAUUAUUGGAAUGAUAUUCCUAAAACCUCAUCAUUAUUGGAAAUGGAUUGUGAUUAUAAAAUGCUUGCAAAUCCCUUUGCAUGGAAAAACGGUCAGGGUCAAAAGUUCAUGCCUGCUGUUUAUUUUAGUUUCACGUUUAGACUGUCAGUUAGACAUUCCGUUUUGGAGGGAAGAAGAAUUCUGAAAAAUGGAGGGAACUUUGUGGUAUACUGAUUGGAUUGUUUGAAAAGAACUGUUGGGGCAAUUUGUAUAUAUAUAGGAGGCUGCUUUAGCAGAGAGUUAGUCAGAAGUUAGAGUCCUGGAGAGAGAGAGUGAGUCUGGAGUCACCAGCUGAAGAGUGAAGAAGUUGCAUUUUGGAAGUCAGAGUGGAGAGUCUGCAGUGAGAAAAGCUGGAGUGUGCAGAGAAAAGGAGAGAGGAGUCAGCAGGCAAGAAGUAAAUGCUGGGAGGCUGAAGGAACUGGAUCCAGUCCAAGUGGAGGAGCUGAGGCCAGUCAAAGCUGAAGAACUGCUAGCUCAGGCUGUGAGAGAAUCAGUGCUGUGUCUCUAGCAAGAGCUGAAAUCACAGAAGAACCAGGCUGGAUUGAACCCCAGGCCCAGACUGUGACCAGGACAAGAGAUUGCAGAAGGAAAAGCCAGCGUUGCUACAGGUGUUCAUCAAGGACUCAUGUUUUGCCUACUGAGGAGAACAGCACAUGGUACCAGGAAUGGAAUACAAAGAAGUGAAGAAGAAGAAUGCUCUGGUCAACCACAGUGCCUUAUAUCGGGGAACCUGUUCUACACUCUAAUACCAUCUCUUAGGACUCAACUGGGGAGGCCUGGUGUUCAUGGAGUAUGGGUGUACAGAGUUCCUGUUAAUUGUAGGCCCUCCUGUUUGGCUAACCAGGUGUGUUAUUUGCCCAAAUACAGACACCUGGCUUUAUCUCAAGGCUUAGUAUUGUCCCCCAGGGACCUACAAACAAAAUUAAGGUUGCCUGUUGCAUUAUCUGGUUACCUCUGGGAAUGUUCACCAUGAACUUUCCCACACAGGACUUCCAGCUCUCUGAGUAUCUGAUGAGGGAAGCCACUUUGAAUGAAACCCGCAGCAUUAGGGAAGCAGCCUCUUCCCUCUCUACUGCAAGUUUUCUUUUGUGUAGGUUCACACGGGAGGCAGGAUGCUAUGCCUCCCUUUCCCCCAAGAGUUUAGUAAUUAAAGCACCCUCUGUGGUCUGGCUCUGUUGAAGUCCAUACACACAAACACACAUACACACACCUCUGCUUAAUUGGUGUGUGGAUCAGAUUGCCUGUUAGCCAUCAGCCUUGGCUUUUUAUCCCCUCCCCACCCCGUCAGGACCCCAACAUACACAGAAGUCCCCAGCAUGUGUCAGCCCUCCUGCAGCAUCAGCAUCACUUCUGUUUUUGCAGCCCCAUCCCAGCUUGGAUGGCAUGCAAGGAAAUGCUCAUUUUUGCAAAAGACUGCCAAUCCUCCUCCCAGAUCUCCUUCCCACCCCUCCAAAAACUUUCAAAGAGCAGAAAGCCUGAAAACUAGAUGUUCAACUCCUUGCCUCAGGGUGAAGGCCAGGCAGCUUUGUUUUUGCUAGGUGUGACUUGCUCUUACCAUGCAAAUUUAGAGACUGAUGCCAGUGCUUUGUGUAGGAUUUUCCAGGAAACUUCACUGGAAAACCAGCAUUGUAAAAACUCAGAUACAAACCGGGAUGAGGAGAAGUCCAGCAGGAAAAGCCUGAUUUGUGUGUGGGGUGCUUCCAAAGACAUUGAACUGACCUUGGCAGGAAUCCAGCUGUAGUGAAAACAUAUAGCCUGUCUCCCAGAGGAGAUUCGGAGUAAAGCCCCUGUGUGCGAAAGCUGCAGGUGAAGAUUCUUCUUCUAUCUGUAUUCCACAAAGAUCUUUAAUCAUGUGUACGUAAAUACAUAUGAUUGGAAUUCUGCUAGAACACUGAUUUGCUUCAAUCACUUUUGUUUGUGGGAAGUCCUCUGCUGUAGUGUGUGUGGGUGUGUGUUUGUGUGUGGCCAUGAGAAGCUGUAAAUUUGGUUGGAGCAGUGGUGACAAGGGAAGGGGUUCAACCAUUUGCACGCAGACCAUUUUUUGAGAGCAAUACUGCCCACCCGGGGUCAAGAAAUGUAGGCUCAUUUCACCAGCCAGGCAAAAAUUCUAGUAGUCAGAUGGUUCCUCGGCCUAUGGCGGUUGGUUCAUGCUUGUUGUCAGGAAGAAGCUACGUUAGCCUGCCACCAUGUAUAAACACAAUCAUACAUACAGAAGAAUAAUUAUUCUAUUUGUCAGACUUAUAUGUUCCAACUCUCUGUAUAUAGUAAGUGAUUUAUAUGUUCCAAAUGGAAAUCAUCACUUACCUAAAUCUUUUGGCAUUUUUGUCCUUCAGUAUGUCUUACAGAAUUUGCAAUGAAGAACUACUAGUCAGUGGCUUUUUUAGGAUCAAACUCUGGCACAGAUAGUCCAUUCAAACCCUUGUUUCUAGUGUUAUGGGAGAGGGAAAACUUUUUCUCUCUCUCCACUUUCUCCACACCAUGCAUGAUUUUAUAGACCUCUAUCAUGUCUCCCUGCAGUUGUCUUUUUUCCAAACUAAAAAUCCCCAGGUGUUGUAGCCUUGCCUCAUAAGAAAGGUGCUCCAGGCCCCUGUUCAGCUUGGUUACCCUCUUCUGUACCUUUUCCUGCUGUAAAAUGUCUUUCUUUAGGCAGGGUGACCAGAAUUGUACGCAGUACUCCA